AUAAUCACUAACAGUCUUUCUUCCUGGUGUGAGGAGGAGCUAUGAUAAUACAAGCUUAAAGUAAGCCUGUGCAAAUCCCUGGAACUAAUUCCAUCUGGACUGGUGAAACACAGCAGUUUAAAAAUAGCAUUACUGAAGAAAGACUUCAUAUUUAGUUGCAAAUUUGCAGUACUUCCUUCCUAUCCUGAGCUAAACAUGUUUUAUUCUUCCUCCUGGUGAACCAGAACAACACUGCCUAGAAAGCUGAUAAAAGAUUAUCACAAGCUUGCAUACUACCCCUCUUUAUGAAUCUCAUGGCUUUAGUAAGGAAGAAAAUCAUGAUCAAGAGAACUCCGUACUAGAUGUGGGAGAAGACUAUGUAUGGAACUCAGUGGUACAAAAUUACUGGUAAAUACAUCAAAAUCAUAUGGACCCAAAUAAGACCUCUGGUGUGCAAAUUAUGAGCCACUGGAACAAAGCCACCAAAGAAAACAAUGAGUACGCCAAAGGCUAUCUCCUGGGCAAUUCCAUUUUCUACUUGUGAUGACAGAAUGGACAAGAUAUGCUUGGAAGAACUGGGCUCCACAGAAGAAAAAUAUGCAGCUAAUUAUAAUAAUAUUGCAAAACAAAUCAAUAAUUAUAAUUUUCACAGCAUAUAAGAUCAACCAGGACAAGGAACAUAGUCAGCUAUUUAACGUCCUCUUCAGUUCGUAUCGCUCCACUACAGUGGGACUCUGGAUUGGCAUCGCACACCUGCGAUCACCUUGAAUAGCCACUGGAUGUCACUGACGAUCCACACAAAAUCAGCUUAACCCUUUAAGCAUUAUCUUGCAAUGCAUGGAAGAGUCAGCAAAAAGGUCACUUACUUCCAUGACCUUGGGAUGUGAAUUGUCUAUCACGAACAUCUGCAAUGACAGAUAAAUAAGAAACUCUCAAAAGAAAUAGAGAUGUGAUCAACUGCAAGGCACACCAUGAGUUAAGAUACUUCAAAGAACUAUUUGAAUGUGAGAUGAUGGCUACUUAUGACUCUCUUAAAAACGUGCAAUCAAGCCUUCCUCUGUGUUACAGUGCAUAACCACCCAGGUGGGAGGACAUCUCUUUUAGUACUGAACUGUGUUCUUUUCACAGUCCAUGCAAGAUGACUGGAAAUUUGGUUUUCUUAUUUAAAUGUUUCAACAACUCUGGAAUUUUUCUGGAAGAACUGCAGGAAUUCCUUCCCUUAUCUGGGGAUUCUAAAUUGCCUUACGUGUUUGAUGAGAAAUAAAUAAUUUUCCAGCAUGUUCCUGAUCUCUGAAAGAUAAAAUUCCCAAUAGCAAUCCAUAGGAGAGAAGUAGAUAGUUACCUGCCAUAGCAAGAAAAGUAGAGGAAUGAGAACAACGUCAAACACAAAGCAUUUAUAUUCACCAACAUGUUUUUCUUAUAAUUGGCAAAUUCGUGAUAAUGAUGAACCGGUUCUUUCUGUACUUUACUAUUGAGUAUAUUAAGUGAAGAGCAGUGAGAAGUGUACUUGUCUGUUAGAGAAACGAGGUUCAAAAGCAGAUUUUUCAAUGUUUUGGUGCCAUUGCAUUCUAUCUGGAUUUAAAUGGCUUUUUGUUUUUUAUCCUCAUGACAGAAGAUUUAUUUUUCUUCAAGCAGAAGCUAUCAUCUUGAGAAAUCUAUGUAUCAAUUAACUAGCUUUUUUCCUCUAACAUUUCAGCUUAAUGCUUUUCUUGCUGCUUGGUGCCAAUGUAUCCUUUUGUUUGAGGAUGGUAUAGAGAUAGUGAUCAGAGCUUUUAAAGACUCAUUUACAGAUAGGAUAAGACACAGCACAAUGAGCUCUUUUCACUGAUACACUUUUAGAUAGCUCAUUAGCUGUAUACUGUGAAGCCAGUUGAAUCUUUAAAGAAAACUAUAUUAUAUUCUCCAGUUAAAAGUCUGUUUAGUUGCCCUGUUGAAACUGAAAAAUUAUGUAAAAUGUUGCAAGAUGAUAGUAAUUGUCUCUGGAAGCAAAUCAGAAGCAAACAGAUAAUGAUCUAGGAAUCAGAAUCUUGUCUGGGAGGUGAAUAAAAAUUAUUUUGUUUUAAAUCUUCCUUUUUUCAUACUGUGUUUCUCAAUCGGCUUCAUCAUCCUAUCUCUGACUUUAGACAACACCUAUGGAAUAAGAAAAGCCAGCUUCCAACCUUGUUCCAGUAUAGAGUGUAACAAGGAGCCCAUGAGGCAUGUUUCCUUCCACAAUGAAGAAUAAGUAUUCUGGCCUCCAUGGAGAAAACUUAUUCUUCAAAAUAUAUGAUUCCACAAUAUUAACAUUGUUUAAAUAAUAGAACAAAUUGCUGCUACUGAUUAUAAAAUUAGCUUGCCUUAACAAAAAAAAAAAAAAAAAAGUCAUGAUUCUUUCCAGCAGGUGCUCUCCCUGCAAUGCAUUCUGCCAGAUAACUGCACACAAUAUAA